GCCCACCUUUCCACCGGUGCAGGUGGCGCUUACUCUCGCGCUCCUCGGCUCCGAUUGUUCGCAUUCGCCUCCGGACUCGAGACUUUCAAACCCUAAGUAACCAAACGUCGCGUGUCACCGUUUGCUGGGUUCUGGUGUUUCCCACUUUCUACGGAGUGCCCCCUCCCCCCCCUCCAGCAAACGCACAGAACAACCACACGCGUGUGACCUUGACCUUCAUUGAAGAUGGCAGUGGUAUUCCCAAUAAAGGUACUAAAGCAUCAGCACCUUGUCUGAGGUCUCACAGAUGGGUAGGGCAGUACCAGGCCCAGGGCCCAGCGGUCCCGGCUCCCAGCCGGGGGACCCCCACUCCUGGGCAGGGAAAGAGAUUGCCCAGACAGAGCUGGGGAUUACACAGCUAAUCCCAGCCUCCGCGACCUGAGUCCAUGGAUCCCUCCCUAUGGGGCAGGAGAAGGGGGGCAGGAUGGAGCCAGAGGGUGGAUUCCUUCCCCAUCCCUAACUGGGUCAAGGGAACACAAGGCCACGGGGAGAAGGCCGCCUGGGGAUGCCGUGGACGGGAGAUGGUGGGGCAUGGGAUGAUGAGAAACUGAGAGUGAGGAGCAGGGUCUCCUGUUCAUCCAGCACCAGGCUCUGUGCCAAGCACUUGCCAUGUGUUAUCUCCUUAAUCCUCCCACAACCCAGAGCGUAGGAAUGAUGAACCCCUGUUUGCAAAAGAGGACACAAUGUAUUAACAACGCACAGUGGCCUGCCCCGGGCAGCACAGCUGCCAGAACUCAGCCUGAGGGUUCCUGACCUGAGAUCCCCCACUCAGUCCCCACCCAUCCAGAGCACCUACUUGCCAGGCUCCCGUCAGUGUCACCUCCCAGAGAGCCCUCCUCUGAGGCAUCCCAGGCCCCGGCCGUCCCCUCUCCCUCCGCACCUGUCCCGUCCUAUGCCACUUUCUCGCAUCUGCCUCCCCAACCAGCCUCCAAACCAGAAGCCAUUGCUGUGUUGGGCUAACUUUGCCUUCCAAAUGCUCCUUGUUCCUGUGCCCUCCUGCCCAUCCCAUGUCCAUGAGCGGGGUUCGCUUUAUAGCCGGAAUUUUGCAAAGCUUCCUUGAGGUCUCCCAGCCUCCCAUCUCGACCCCUCCGAUUCCUUCUCUGCACCACGGGGUGAGUGGGAUUGAACCUCAGAUCCAUGUUGCCUCUCCUUUGCCUGAGACCACCGAGGGGUGGUUCCCCGGUGUCCUCAGGACAAAGCCCAAGCCUCCUGGCCUGGCAUUCAAGAUCAGGUGCUGACUUCUCCGGCUCCAGCCCAGAUUCUCCCCACACAGAGGAUCUCUCUGAUUUCCACCAGAGGAUCCGUCUUCCUUGCGUUCUCCUCCUGAGGAGCCCUUUGAAUGUCACCUCCCACCAUCUCUAGGAACCUUGCCACAGGUCCUUUGUGACAACGGCACGAUCAGAUCUUCUCUCUUCUCCACCCCACAGCACAGAGCUUCUCAAGGGAGGUGCUUACUCCAUAUUGUAAUCCAGUUUUGUAAUUGGAAAAUGAAAAAAAAAAAA